rnacentral:rRNA from 1 species
GAUGAACGCUAGCUACAGGCUUAACACAUGCAAGUCGAGGGGUAGCAAGAGGAAAGCUUGCUUUUCUUGUUGACGACCGGCGCACGGGUGAGUAACGCGUAUCCAACCUGCCUAUAACUAGGGAAUAACCUUGCGAAAGUAAGACUAAUGCCCUAUGAUUUCCUUUGAUGACAUCAGAUUAGGAAUAAAGAUUUAUCGGUUAUAGAUGGGGAUGCGUCUGAUUAGCUUGUUGGCGGGGUAACGGCACACCAAGGCAACGAUCAGUAGGGGUUCUGAGAGGAAGGUCCCCCACAUUGGAACCGAGACACGGUCCAAACUCCUACGGGAGGCAGCAGUGAGGAAUAUUGGUAAAUGGGCGGAAGCCUGAACCAGCCAAGUAGCGUGCAGGAUGACGGCCCUAUGGGUUGUAAACUGCUUUUAUACAGGGAUAAAGUUAGCCACGUGUGGUUAUUUGCAGGUACUGUAUGAAUAAGGACCGGCUAAUUCCGUGCCAGCCGCCGCGGUAA